rnacentral:rRNA from 1 species
CCUACGGGUGGCAGCAGUGAGGAAUAUUGGUCAAUGGACGCAAGUCUGAACCAGCCAAGCAGCGUGCAGGAUGACGGCCCUACGGGUUGUAAACUGCUUUUGUACGGGGAUAAAGUGAGACACGUGUGCCUGUCUGAAUGUACUUUAUGAAUAAGGAUCGGCUAACUCCGUGCCAGCAGCCGCGGUAAUACGGAGGAUCCGAGCGUUAUCCGGAUUUAUUGGGUUUAAAGGGAGCGUAGAUGGUCGGUUAAGUCAGUGGUGAAAGCCUGCGGCUCAACUGCGAAAUUGCCAUUGAUACUGGUAGGCUUGAGUGUAGUUGCGGUAGGCGGAAUGUAUGGUGUAGCGGUGAAAUGCUUAGAGAUCAUGCAGAACACCGAUUGCGAAGGCAGCUUACCAAGCUGCUACUGACAUUGAGGCACGAAAGUGUGGGGAGCAAACAGGAUUAGAUACCCCUGUAGUC